rnacentral:lncRNA from 1 species
GUCAUGAAUAAUCGAAAAUGCUUCAAACAGCAAAAGGGAGGCUUCUUCUGGUUAUGUGUAUUGUUGAGUAAAUGUUUUAUGUCAAUCAGUCGUAGCAAACUUGGGUUAUCGUCAUGACGUAGGAAAGUGUAACAAACAGAUAGAAUGAGUGAAUACUAUAGGGCGCGAACAUUAUUUUUUUUUAUGGCGGGGGCUCUCAUAAAUUAUGGUAACAUCUCAGGGUAUUCAUACGACUCAUUGCUU